rnacentral:rRNA from 1 species
AUACGAAGGGGGCUAGCGUUGUUCGGAAUUACUGGGCGUAAAGCGCGCGUAGGCGGACUGAUCAGUUAGGGGUGAAAUCCCAGGGCUUAACCCUGGAACUGCCCUUGAUACUGGCGAUCUCGAGUCCGGGAGAGGUGAGCGGAAUUCCUAGUGUAGAGGUGAAAUUCGUAGAUAUUAGGAGGAACACCAGUGGCGAAGGCGGCUCACUGGCCCGGUCCUGACGCUGAGGUGCGAAAGCGUGGGGAGCAAACAGGAUUAGAAACCCUAGUAGUCC